UACGUAGGGAGCAAGCGUUGUCCGGAAUCAUUGGGCGUAAAGCGCGCGUAGGUGGCUUCGUAAGUCCGUUGUGAAAGUCAAAGGCUCAACCUUUGAAAGCCGAUGGAUACUGUGGAGCUAGAGUACGGAAGAGGCGAGUGGAAUUCCUGGUGUAGCGGUGGAAUGCGCAGAUAUCAGGAGGAACACCUAUGGCGAAGGCAGCUCUCUGGUACGUGACUGACGCUGAGACGCGAAAGCGUGGGGAGCGAAUGGG
rnacentral:rRNA from 1 species